UACGUAGGGCGCAAGCGUUAUCCGGAAUUAUUGGGCGUAAAGAGCUCGUAGGCGGUUUGUCGCGUCUGCCGUGAAAGUCCGGGGCUCAACUCCGGAUCUGCGGUGGGUACGGGCAGACUAGAGUGAUGUAGGGGAGAGUGGAAUUCCUGGUGUAGCGGUGAAAUGCGCAGAUAUCGGGAAGAACACCCGUGGCGAAGGCGGCUCUCUGGGACGGUACUGACGCUGAGACGCGAAAGCGUGGGGAGCGAACAGG
rnacentral:rRNA from 1 species